CUACGGGGGGCAGCAGUGAGGAAUAUUGCACAAUGGGGGGAACCCUGAUGCAGCAACGCCGCGUGGAGGAUGACGCAUUUCGGUGUGUAAACUCCUUUUAUAUGUCAAGAAAAUGACGGUAGCAUAUGAAUAAGCGCCGGCUAACUCCGUGCCAGCAGCCGCGGUAAUACGGAGGGCGCAAGCGUUACUCGGAAUCACUGGGCGUAAAGGACGCGUAGGCGGGUUGAAAAGUCAGGUGUGAAAGCCUACAGCUUAACUGUAGAACUGCACUUGAAACUCUCAAUCUAGAGUAUGGGAGGGGCAGAUGGAAUUAGUGGUGUAGGGGUAAAAUCCGUAGAUAUCACUAGGAAUACCUAAAGCGAAGGCGAUCUGCUGGAACAUUACUGACGCUAAGGCGUGAAAGCGUGGGGAGCAAACAGGAUUAGAUACCCGCGUAGUC
rnacentral:rRNA from 1 species